CUCAGAGGAGCGGGGAGGGGAGGGAGGGAAGAAAGAUGGAGGUGGACGGACAGGAAGACCUCGAACACGCAUGGCUUUAAAUAGCCACAGGUGUUGUCCACUUAAGAUAGCAGCACUGUGAAGUGAUGCAGGCCUGAAAUUCAAAUUUGGCCUUUGAAAAGCAGGUUUGAGUUAAGCUGGGAGAAGAGCUGGGGAAGCCUGAUUCAUUUCCAGGAUGCACUGCUCUGGGUUUUUAAUAUUCAGCUUGAGAACAUAGCAUGUCAACAGUCUAAUUUCAUUUGAAGGGACUAGGAAGACAGAAGCUAGCUUGAAGGACCAACCCAUGGGACACAGUCUCCAGAGCCGGAUCCUGUGAAACAUGGAGGAAACAAUUGUUUGGGGUUGCUUAAAAGAUACCAGCUCCGAAGCUGGAGGACGCCAGAGCCACAGCCACACUCUAGAAGUGACAAUCCCUGCCUUAGCCGUCUGAAAAGGCAAGAUCUUGAACGUGUGCUAGAUGACUGUGAUAAGCCCCUUAGAAAGCAAAUAAAUGAUGAUAGCAGUUCACAAGA